UUCAUCAGUUUGUUCCCCGUUUCUUCUCUAGCCUGAGCCUAACACACUAUUCUAGCUAGACAUGGGUGUGGCUCGUAACACCUGAUGACCAAACGGAUCUAGGGCACCAUCGAAUCUCAAACUUUAACUGCCAAAACUAUUGUUUUUCAUCCUGUAGUCCCUUUUAGAAUUACUAAACGUCCUUUUUUGGGCUGAGAUUUCUAGGAACGCUUUCGCGCGGUUUGUGUGCAAGUAUUUCAAAUCAUACGGACCUAAAAAUUAGAAGUCAUUCCAUCUUUAUUCCCCUAGAGCCUUCCAGCAGUUCCUAAACCGCUCCAAUCGGAGCACGUUAUUAUUAUUGUUAGUUCUGAGUGAAUUCCCUCGGUUUGAUCAUUCUUUCAUCAGUUUGUUCCCCGUUUCUUCUCUAGCCCGAGCCUAAUACACUAUUCUAGCUAGACAUGGGUGUGGCUUGUAACUUCUGAUGACCAAACGGAUCUACGGCACCAUCAAAUCUCAAACUUUAAAUGCCAAAACUAUUGUUUUUCAUUCUGUAGUCCCUUUUAGAAUUACUAAACGUCCUUUUUUGGGCCGAGAUUUCUAGGAACGCUUUCUCGGGGUUUGUGUGCACGUAUUUCAAAUCAUACAGACCUAAAAAUUAGAAGUCAUUCCUGUAGGGUUUCGUAGUAAUUUCAAAAAAUUUCCUACGCACACACAGGAUCAUGUGAUGCAUAGCAACGAGGGGAGAGUAUUGUCUACGUACCCAACGCAGACCGACUGCGGAAGCGAUGACACGACGUAGAGGAAGUAGUCGUACGUCUUCACGAUCCAACCGAUCAAGUACCGAAACUACGGCACCUCCGAGUUCGAGCACACGUUCAGCUCGAUGACGAUCCCCGGACUCCGAUCCAGCAAAGUGUUGGGGAAGAGUUUCGUCAGCACGACGGCGUGGUGACGAUCUUGAUGAACUACAGCAGCAGGGCUUCGCCUAAACUCCGCUACAGUAUUAUCGAGGAAUAUGGUGGCAGGGGGCACCGCACACGGCUAAGGAAUAGAUCACGUGGAUCAACUUGUGUCAACUUGUGUGUUUGGGGUGCCUCUACCUCAGUAUAUAAAGGAGCCAAGGGGGGAGGGGGCGCCGGCCAAGAGAGAGAGGCGCAGGAGGAGUCCUACUCCUACCGGGAGUAGGACUCCCCCCCCAAUCCUAUUCCAACUAGGAUUCCCAAGGGGGAAAGAGGAUGAGGGGUGGCCGGCCACCUCUCCUAGUCCUAAUAGGACUAGGGGAAGGGGGGAGGCGCGCAUCCCCCUUGGUCUGCCCCUUUCUCCUUUCCACUAAGGCCCAUGAUGGCCCAUAUGGCUCCCGGGGGGUUCCGGUAACCUCCCGGUAACCCGGUAAAAUCCCGAUUUCACCCGGAACACUUCCGAUGUCCAAACAUAGGCUUCCAAUAUAUCAAUCUUUAUGUCUCGACCAUUUCGAGACUCCUCGUCAUGUCCGUGAUCACAUCCGGGACUCCGACCAACCUUCGGUACAUCAAAAUGCAUAAACUCAUAAUAUAACUGUCAUCGUAACCUUAAGCGUGCGGACCCUACGGGUUCGAGAACAAUGUAGACAUGACCGAGACACGUCUCUGGUCAAUAACCAAUAGCGGGACCUGGAUGCCCAUAUUGGCUCCUACAUAUUCUACGAAGAUCUUUAUCGGUUAGACCGCAUAACAACAUACGUUGUUCCCUUUGUCAUCGGUAUGUUACUUGCCCGAGAUUCGAUCGUCGGUAUCCAAUACCUAGUUCAAUCUCGUUACCGGCAAGUCUCUUUACUCGUUCCGUAAUACAUCAUCUCACAACUAACAUAUUAGUUGUAAUUCUUGCAAGGCUUAUGUGAUGUGUAUUACCGAGAGGGCCCAGAGAUACCUCUCCGACAAUCGGAGUGACAAAUCCUAAUCUCGAAAUACGCCAACCCAACAUCGACCAUUGGAGACACAUGUAGUACUCCUUUAUAAUCACCCAGUUACGUUGUGACGUUUGGUAGUACCCAAAGUGUUCCUCCGGUAAACGGGAGUUGCAUAAUCUCAUAGUCAUAGGAACAUGUAUAAGUCAUGAAGAAAGCAAUAGCAACAUACUAAACGAUCGGGUGCUAAGCUAAUGGAAUGGGUCAUGUCAAUCAGAUCAUUCUGCUAAUGAUGUGACCUCGUUAAUCAAAUAACAACUCAUUGUUCAUGGUUAGGAAACAUAACCAUCUUUGAUUAACGAGCUAGUCAAGUAGAGGCAUACUAGUGACACUUUGUUUGUCUAUGUAUUCACACAUGUAUUAUGUUUCCGGUAAAUACAAUUCUAGCAUGAAUAAUAAACAUUUAUCAUGAUUAUAAGGAAAUAAAUAAUAACAUUAUUAUUGCCUCUAGGGCAUAUUUCCUUCAAUUCCAUCUUUAUUCCCCUAGACCCUUCCAGCAGUUCCUAAACCGCUCCAGUCGGAGCACGUUAUCAUUCUUGUUAGUUCUGAGUGAAUUCCCUCGGUAUGAUCAUUCUUUCAUCAGUUUGUUCCCCAUUUCUUCUCUAGCCUGAGACUAACACACUAUUCUAGGUAGACAUGGGUGUGGCUCGUAACACCUGCUGACCAAACAGAUCUACGGCACCAUUGAAUCUCAAACUUUAACUGCCAAAACUAUUGUUUUUCAUCCUGUAGUCCCUUUUAGAAUUAUUAAACAUCCUUUUUUCGGCCGAGAUUUCCAGGAACGCUUUCUCGGGGUUUGUGUGCACGUAUUUCAAAUCAUACGGACCUAAAAUUAGAAUUCAUUCCAUCUUUAUUCCCCUAGAGCCUUCCAGCAUUUCCUAAACCGCUCCAGUCGGAGCACGUUAUCAUUCUUGUUAGUUCUGAGUGAAUUCCCUCGGUAUGAUCAUUCUUUCAUCAGUUUGUUCCCCGUUUCUUCUCUAGUCUGAGCCUAGCACACUACUCUAGCUAGACAUGGGUGUGGCUCGUUACACCUGAUGACCAAACGGAUCUACGGCACCGUCGAAUCUCAAACUUUAACUGCCAAAACUAUUGUUUUUCAUCCUGUUGUCCCUUAUAGAAUUACUAAACGUCCUUUUUGGGAUGAGAUUUCCAGGAACGCUUUCGUGUGGUUUGUGUGCAAGUAUUUCAA
rnacentral:lncRNA from 1 species